rnacentral:lncRNA from 1 species
GAUAAGUUAAUUUAAAGCUGCAUCUCUUUUUAUGACUGAAAAGUUCGUCUGGGGCCAACCGCUAGGACCAACUGCAGCCUUUGAAAUGCGGGAAUUCUGGCCCACCCUUCUACCCUUCUCCACUUAAAUACCAGGCUUAGUUCGCAUGGUGCAACGGUUACUCAACCUUUGAAUUAAGCCCUGGGGCAAUUUAAACCUUCAUCCUAAAAGCAGGAUGGUUUUCGACUAGCCUUUUAGUGAAUACAAAUGUCAUGUAGAUUAAUGGAUGCACCUAAGACAAAUAUGUGUUGAACUUCUCGACUGUCGAGAAGCUACAACUUCUGGCUCUACUUUUAUAGGACGACUCGGAUAAGACAUUUUAGUCUUGUAUUCUUGUCUAUUAAGCAUUUAUAGAUUUUGGUUGAAUUCACAGGGAAAAUCUGGUCAAACUCGAGGGAAGAAAGUUGGUUAUGAGAGUGACCACAUCUUAAAGGAUGACGAUACUCCACGAUCAGAUACCAGCGAGAAACAUACUGACGACUUGUGGCACCACAUUGACAGUCACUUGAAUGACCUUGCAGUGAGUGUUAUUAUCUUUCAAAAAUGAAUGUGGCUUAGGAAAAUAAUCCUAAAGGACAUUUCUUCGUCUAGAUAUAACGUCCAUUUGUUAUGUAACAUAGUGAAUGCCUCUAGUUUAUUUGCUGGUUUCUUAAUGGCAGGAGGAGCAUGGAAUCGAUGGGCAGAGGAAAGGGAUCAAUCGGAGUUGGGUUAAGGGACUAGGUCAGGGACGUGGACGUCCUCAGUUUCAUCAAAAUAAUCGUGGAGGUCAUCUAGGGACUUCCCCAUCUAUGAGGCGUGCAUACAGUGUGGGGAGUGCUCUAUCAAGCGUCAAUCGUUUUAGUCUAGCAGGGCAUUCCUCUAUACUCUCUGAUCAUUCAGCAUCAGUCAAGCAAACUCCUGUCCCUCGCAUGCCAGAUGGCACCAGGGGAUUCUCUAUGGGUCGAGGUAAACCAGUCGCGAUUAAAACAGCAUAACGAGUAUGUAUGUGGUUACUUGUCUGAUCAUUUCCAAAUGGAGAAGUGGGAAUGCACUCUUUUUUUGCAGUUAUCGAUGGCAAUGUCUUAGAGACACUGUCAAUCCAGUUGGAGCUGGUAUAGUUUGAAUCGGCGGAUUGAGUCUCAACUGGUUUUCCUGUUUAUGUUUGUUAAACCUGAGAUCUCGCAGGAAAACUGUGGUUUUU